rnacentral:rRNA from 1 species
GUACGGGAGGCAGCAGUGAGGAAUCUUGCGCAAUGGCCUAACGGCUGACGCAGCGACGCCGCGUGAGGGAUGACGCUCUUCGGAGUGUAAACCUCUUUUGCCCGGGACGAAUUGCCAACUUCAGUUGGCUUGACGGUACCGGGUGAAUAAGCACCGGCUAACUCCGUGCCAGCAGCCGCGGUAAUACGGGGGGUGCGAGCGUUGUCCGGAAUCACUGGGCGUAAAGGGCGCGUAGGUGGUCUUAUAAGGGUGUGGUGAAAGCCCGGGGCUCAACCCCGGGUCGGCCGUGCCGACUGUAAGACUAGAGUGCUGUAGGGGCAGGCGGAAUUCCGGGUGUAGCGGUGGAAUGCGUAGAGAUCCGGAGGAAGACCGGUGGCGAAGGCGGCCUGCUGGGCAGUUACUGACACUGAGGCGCGACAGCGUGGGGAGCAAACAGGAUUAGAUACCCCCGUAGUCCG